rnacentral:rRNA from 1 species
AUUGAACGCUGGCGGCAGGCCUAACACAUGCAAGUCGAGCGGUAGCACAGAGAGCUUGCUCUCGGGUGACGAGCGGCGGACGGGUGAGUAAUGUCUGGGAAACUGCCUGAUGGAGGGGGAUAACUACUGGAAACGGUAGCUAAUACCGCAUAACGUCGCAAGACCAAAGUGGGGGACCUUCGGGCCUCAUGCCAUCAGAUGUGCCCAGAUGGGAUUAGCUAGUAGGUGGGGUAACGGCUCACCUAGGCGACGAUCCCUAGCUGGUCUGAGAGGAUGACCAGCCACACUGGAACUGAGACACGGUCCAGACUCCUACGGGAGGCAGCAGUGGGGAAUAUUGCACAAUGGGCGCAAGCCUGAUGCAGCCAUGCCGCGUGUGUGAAGAAGGCCUUCGGGUUGUAAAGCACUUUCAGCGGGGAGGAAGGCGGUGAGGUUAAUAACCUCAUCGAUUGACGUUACCCGCAGAAGAAGCACCGGCUAACUCCGUGCCAGCAGCCGCGGUAAUACGGAGGGUGCAAGCGUUAAUCGGAAUUACUGGGCGUAAAGCGCACGCAGGCGGUCUGUCAAGUCGGAUGUGAAAUCCCCGGGCUCAACCUGGGAACUGCAUUCGAAACUGGCAGGCUAGAGUCUUGUAGAGGGGGGUAGAAUUCCAGGUGUAGCGGUGAAAUGCGUAGAGAUCUGGAGGAAUACCGGUGGCGAAGGCGGCCCCCUGGACAAAGACUGACGCUCAGGUGCGAAAGCGUGGGGAGCAAACAGGAUUAGAUACCCUGGUAGUCCACGCCGUAAACGAUGUCGAUUUGGAGGUUGUGCCCUUGAGGCGUGGCUUCCGGAGCUAACGCGUUAAAUCGACCGCCUGGGGAGUACGGCCGCAAGGUUAAAACUCAAAUGAAUUGACGGGGGCCCGCAUAAGCGGUGGAGCAUGUGGUUUAAUUCGAUGCAACGCGAAGAACCUUACCUGGUCUUGACAUCCACAGAACUUUCCAGAGAUGGAUUGGUGCCUUCGGGAACUGUGAGACAGGUGCUGCAUGGCUGUCGUCAGCUCGUGUUGUGAAAUGUUGGGUUAAGUCCCGCAACGAGCGCAACCCUUAUCCUUUGUUGCCAGCGGUCCGGCCGGGAACUCAAAGGAGACUGCCAGUGAUAAACUGGAGGAAGGUGGGGAUGACGUCAAGUCAUCAUGGCCCUUACGACCAGGGCUACACACGUGCUACAAUGGCAUAUACAAAGAGAAGCGACCUCGCGAGAGCAAGCGGACCUCAUAAAGUAUGUCGUAGUCCGGAUUGGAGUCUGCAACUCGACUCCAUGAAGUCGGAAUCGCUAGUAAUCGUAGAUCAGAAUGCUACGGUGAAUACGUUCCCGGGCCUUGUACACACCGCCCGUCACACCAUGGGAGUGGGUUGCAAAAGAAGUAGGUAGCUUAACCUUCGGGAGGGCGCUUACCACUUUGUGAUUCAUGACUGGGGUGA